GUGGCCUAGUGGUUAGAACAUCUGCCUCAGAUGCGGGAGGUUGUGGGUUCAAUCCUCAGUCAAGUCA